rnacentral:lncRNA from 1 species
ACCUGGCUGGCUGUUAGGUGUUCUCCACUGCUAUGGCCUGGGACUGUGAGGUGUCCCUGGCCAUAGAGGAUGCCCAGCAUGUGGGCACACAGCUUGCUAAACCCGUAGGCUUGAUGGAGAGAGGUGCUCCCAUACAGCCAUGUUCCUGAGGCCAUUCUCUGGUCUGAGACUGGGGGCCACCAUUGGGAGGUGAGGUGAGGAGCAUGGCGGCGGACACAUGCGGCCUGGUUGUGGCCCUCGGAACUGAAUACCACUGGUAUCAAGUCCCACAGCAAACACAUGAAUCUGACACCAUCAACUUUCCCUCCAUUUCUUUGAAAACCUGAGAGGGAAACUGGGGACAGUACUUCAUCCUGAUAUGCCAAUAUUCUGUGUUUUCUGCCUGCUAUCGGGACAGAGCUAAAGUGUUAUUUAUUUAUUUAUUAACUAAAGCAUAAUUUUCGGUGAUUGAAUUAUUAGCCAAGUGUGCGCAAUGACUGAUACUAGUGUCUGCUUGUGAAUAACUCCCCCUUAUUUUCUGUCCUUGCUCAGCCAUGCUGAAACAGUGCUCACAGAUGUGAGACCAGCAGCAGCGGCAGAAAGGCUUUGUCAACACCAGCAAAUCACUGUUUCUACCUCUGCAAGGUCAGCUGCUGAAGGCAACGUGUUCAAGACCACAGCUCCACAACCGAAACUGUUUGUUGCCAUCCUGUGCUCGGAAAAGAGUGUGUAUAAGCUUGCCCUCGGGCCACCUCCCAUUCACAAUCUUGCACAUGCUGGACUUACGCAAGCCAAGUGAAGAAUAAAAAAGUCUCCUCUGGAGAAAUGGGUGGGAUA